rnacentral:rRNA from 1 species
UGAGGAAUCUUGCGCAAUGGGGGAAACCCUGACGCAGCAACGCCGCGUGAGGGAAGAAGGCUUUCGGGUUGUAAACCUCUGUCCUUGGUGACGAAAAAAAUGACGGUAGCCAAGGAGGAAGCCCCGGCUAACUACGUGCCAGCAGCCGCGGUAAUACGUAGGGGGCGAGCGUUGUCCGGAAUUACUGGGCGUAAAGGGUGCGUAGGUGGCCUUUUAAGUUGGAUGUGAAAUACCCGGGCUUAACUUGGGGGGUGCAUCUAAUACUGGAGGGCUAGAGUGCAGGAGAGGAAAGCGGAAUUCCUAGUGUAGCGGUGAAAUGCGUAGAUAUUAGGAGGAACACCAGUGGCGAAGGCGGCUUUCUGGACUGUAACUGACACUGAGGCACGAAAGCGUGGGGAGCAAACA